rnacentral:rRNA from 1 species
CCUACGGGGGGCAGCAGUGGGGAAUAUUGCACAAUGGGGGAAACCCUGAUGCAGCGACGCCGCGUGAGUGAAGAAGUAAUUCGUUAUGUUAAGCUCUAUCAGCAGGGAAGAAAAUGACGGUACCUGAGUAAGAAGCCCCGGCUAACUACUUGCCAGCAGCCGCGGUACUACGUCGGGGGCAAGCGUUAUCCGGCUUUACUGGGCGUAAAGGGAGCGUAGACGGGAGUGCAAGUCUGGGGUGAAAGGCGGGGGCUCAACCCCCGGACUGCUCUGGAAACUGUACGGCUGGAGUGCAGGAGAGGUAAGUGGAAUGCCUAGUGUAGCGGUGAAAUGCGUAGAUAUUAGGAGGAACACCAGUGGCGAAGGCAGCUUACUGGACUGUAACUGACGUUGAGGCUCGAAAGCGUGGGGAGCAAACAGGAUUAGAUACCCCGGUAGUC